rnacentral:misc_RNA from 1 species
UCGUAACAAGGUUUCCGUAGGUGAACCUGCGGAAGGAUCAUUACCUAGAGUUGUAGGCUUUGCCUGCUAUCUCUUACCCAUGUCUUUUGAGUACCUUCGUUUCCUCGGCGGGUCCGCCCGCCGAUUGGACAAUUUAAACCAUUUGCAGUUGCAAUCAGCGUCUGAAAAAACUUAAUAGUUACAACUUUCAACAACGGAUCUCUUGGUUCUGGCAUCGAUGAAGAACGCAGCGAAAUGCGAUAAGUAGUGUGAAUUGCAGAAUUCAGUGAAUCAUCGAAUCUUUGAACGCACAUUGCGCCCCUUGGUAUUCCAUGGGGCAUGCCUGUUCGAGCGUCAUUUGUACCUUCAAGCUCUGCUUGGUGUUGGGUGUUUGUCUCGCCUCUGCGUGUAGACUCGCCUCAAAACAAUUGGCAGCCGGCGUAUUGAUUUCGGAGCGCAGUACAUCUCGCGCUUUGCACUCAGAACGACGACGUCCAAAAGUACAUUUUUACACUCUUGACCUCGGAUCAGGUAGGGAUACCCGCUGAACUUAAGCAUAUCAAUAA